UUUAUUUGUGGAAUAUAGAAUACACACCUCUGUGCCUCUGGUCUCUUUCAGCCAUCAUCCUCCAGGGCCCUCAAACUCAACUCUGGACCUCCAAGUUAUUUUCACUGCAUUUUUUCAUUGUUCUCCUCUAAUCAGGGACUCCUUUAGAGCUGGGACACCAGGUGUGUACAGUUAAUUAUCAGGUAGAACAGAAAUCUUGCAGUCGUCUCCAGACCUCGCAGGCUAAGAGUUCAAUACCCCUGCUCUAGGGAAUCAGUGUAUCUCUAUUGCCGGCAUGAGUACUGGUGCCACCUUUGCUGAACCUACACAUCCGCUCACUUGUCAUUGGAUCAGGUUUAUGAGGAGCAGUAUGAAUAAGAUUCUCAUGGCUACUACACAACCUCCCACUCACUUGUCAUUGGAUCAGGUUUAUGAGGAGCAGUAUGGAUAAGGUUCUCAUGGCUACUACACAACCUCCCACUCACUUGUCAUUGGAUCAGGUUUAUGAGGAGCAGUAUGGAUAAGGUUCUCAUGGCUACUACACAACCUCCCACUCACUUGUCAUUGGAUCAGGUUUAUGAGGAGCAGUAUGGAUAAGGUUCUCAUGGCUACUACACAACCUCCCACUCACUUGUCAUUGGAUCAGGUUUAUGAGGAGCAGUAUGGAUAAGGUUCUCAUGGCUACUACACAACCUCCCACUCACUUGUCAUUGGAUCAGGUUUAUGAUGAGCAGUAUGAAUAAGGUUCUCAUGGCUACUACACACCACCUCCCACUCACUUGUCAUUGGAUCAGGUUUAUGAGGAGCAGUAUGAAUAAGGUUCUCAUGGCUACUACACAACCUACCACUCAAACACUUAUUUUAUUCCCACACCAUCCAUCCAUAUAUAUAUAUAUAUAUAUAUAUAGCAUAUGACACAACUUUACCCAGCUGUUAUCUCUUCCAUUAGUGUAAAUAAUGUGAUUCAUAUAGCUAUGUAUGUUUGGAAAUUAAUGUUGGCAAAUAUGUGUGAGAUGUCCAUAACAUAGCUGCAGAUUGUACACCAGAUAAUGAGAUGAGAAAUCACCAAAGAUUUUUGUCAUCCAUUACUGCACGUUACAGG